CGCGCUCUGUGCGGAUCCGGUGCUGCUCCGCUCGUUCCCCCCUCCGGUUCUCCUGGUGGUCAACAUAGACAACAGGUUCCUCGGCAGCAUCUACAUAAGAAAAGACAGCCAUGUCAGCUAUGACUGCAAUGUGAAGAUCCACAGCAUUGACGCAAGACCCAAGAGAUACAGAGAAGCCCUGAAGACACGUCUGUUAGCAGAAACUAAAAGGUAACAUUUAACUGAGGUAUCAGGGUAAAAGCCCAGGAGCCGAUGUGCAAACCGGAUCAUCUACAGGGAAGAGACCUGAUUCCCAUUUGGGCCGGCCGAGAGAGGGAGAGACUGAGAUUGCCAUUGUGCUCCAAACAACAGCCCUUCUCAACAGCCUCAAACACAUGAACCUUUCUCUGCUUGAACACCGAAUGGAAUGUUUUAACUAUGGUUUUAGGAAAAACAGCAGCCAAAUUAUAGAAAAUUAAGUCUACCAUGCAUGCUUUUUAAUCAAUAUGAAUAAUCAGAAGAAUCAUCAAAUGCCAUUUGUUAAGUGUCUCUAAACGAUGUUGUUUAUAUCCACCUGUAUUUAUACUGAGUCACGCAUGCAUGUAUAAUAAAAUCGACUAUUAAGUGAAACAUCACCGCAAUGCAUUUGAUCCCACAAUAGCAUAGAUUUAGUUUAUAGCCAUAAUUAUAGAUGUCCAAAAAAUCUGUGUAAAAAAGGUAUGGAAGCU